rnacentral:tRNA from 1 species
CGGGGCGUAGCGCAGUCUGGUUAGCGCGCCAGCUUUGGGAGCUGGAUGUCGAAGGUUCGAAUCCUUUCGCCCCGACCG